GUGCCAGCCGUUGCGGUUAGACAUAUAGGACAAGUGGUACACAUUAAUGGUAUAAAGGGUCAGUAGUAUGGAAUAUAUAAAAUAUUCUAGAAUAUUAUUAUUUAAAUUAUAAUGAAGUACAUGAGUAAGGGUUAAAUCUAUAGAUACAUGUAUGACAACCACUAUAUGAAGGUAUUUAAUUAUAAUAAUAUUGACAUUGAGUGACGAAACCUAUAGUAUCAAAUUGGAUUAGUCAACCAAUUAGUUAUAGGUGUAAACAAUGUAUGUUAACAAAAAAAAUAUUUAUUUUUUUGUAAAGUUAAUAUGAGAACAUACCACCUGAGGAGUACUACACAGUGUAGAAACUCAAAACAAUAGACCGUUUAGGUUAUUAACAGUGGAUCAUGUUAUUUAAU
rnacentral:rRNA from 1 species